rfam:Fukomys damarensis contig84364, whole genome shotgun sequence.
UGGAGCAUAGCUCAGUGGUAGAGCAACUGCCUCCUAUGCGGGCGGCCCUGGGUUCAAGCCCCAGGACUGCAA